rnacentral:rRNA from 1 species
UACAGAGGGUGCAAGCGUUGUUCGGAAUUAUUGGGCGUAAAGCGCGUGUAGGCGGCUUGGCAAGUCAGAUGUGAAAGCCCUCGGCUUAACCGAGGAAGUGCGUCUGAAACUGCUGAGCUUGAGUCUCGGAGAGGAUGGCGGAAUUCCGCAAGUAGAGGUGAAAUUCGUAGAUAUGCGGAGGAACACCAGUGGCGAAGGCGGCUCACUGGCCCGGUACUGACGCUGAGGUGCGAAAGCGUGGGGAGCAAACAGG